AGUUAAAAUCAUUUAGAAUUUUGUAUCCAAUAUCUCGAACAGUUCUUUAGUUUGUCUAACUAAAGGUCCCUGAUUUCUAGGUAUUGUUACGAGGAGGCCACUGGUGUUGCAACUUCAUAAGACAGAAGAUGGUCAGACUGAGUAUGCGGAGUUUCUUCAUGCUCCUAGAAAGAAGUAUACUGAUUUUGCUGCUGUGCGUAAGGAGAUCCAAGAUGAGAUAGAUCGUAUUACUGGGAAAUCUAAGCAAAUAUCUAACAUUCCAAUUCAUCUGAGCAUAUAUUCUCCAAAUGUUGUAAACUUGACAGUCAUAGAUCUUCCUAGGUUGACAAAGGUUGCUGUAGAGGGACAACCGGAAACCAUUGUUGAAGAUAUUGAAAAUAUGGUCUGCUCUUAUGUUGAGAAG